AUGCUUUCCUCUAGGGCUGUUGCAUAUCUGAAUAUCGAUGUUUCAGUAGUCGGUCCGGUUUUACUCCCAUCUACAACUCCCCAACUUGAUGAACUACUACUGGAAACAAUUAAACUGGUUCAAGACCCCGAUAAUUCAUCUCAAACUGUUUAUGAUUCAUGGGUCAAACCCAAUGCUUCUCCCAAGGUUCAACGACUGGGCAAUGGAGGAUCAGACUAUGCAGCAUUCGUUCAACAUGUUGGCAUUCCAUCCACCAACUUGAUAUUUGGAGAAGGUAGGGGCGCACUUCGUGUUGUUUAUUUUUACAGUUUCUCGUAUCUCUAA
rnacentral:rRNA from 1 species